CUUGGAAGGCACAGAGAUGCGAGCUGGAUAUGCAGAGGGAUGCUGGCUGGGGUUUUAAGCAGCACUGGUCAUAAAAAGAUGUGCUGGGUUCUCCAGUGGCUAGUGAUACAGCCCAUCUCACACAACCCAAAACAGCUGCUUGGAAGCAUCAGAGAAAGCCUCAGCAUGGGGACUCAGGCUGUGACGGCUAUGAUAGCUGUGAUGAGUUAAAAGCAUGAACACCUGGAAGGCCGGGGAGGAGGGGAGGUGAGCAGGAAACAGGAUGCCUGUUGAGUCAUAGGGACUUAGAAGAUGAAGGCUUGGAAUGCCCAGGGAUGAUUUAAUCUAGAAAACAGAAGAUGACUUUUGUUACAGGAAGCACAGUUCCCUUUUCAGCAUUUUCUUGGCAUGGUUUAGAAGAGUUCAGCUGCAGGAUCCCCACCCAUGGCUGGCUAGUGACCUUGUGCUGCUGCAGAGCUUCCAGUCCUUCAUCUGCUCAACAAAAGAACGAUUCUGGAAACUUCCCUGGAUUGCUCCAGUUUGAUGUGAGCUGGAUACGUGAUCAGGGAGGUUCAUCUGGCUCUUUGCAGGGGUUUGGGAAGUAGAGGCAUUUGAGAUAGGGGAGCCCACCAGUGUGGUGGGACUAGUAGUCCAUCCACCACCCAGCAGCUCCUCAGGUUUUAUGAAUCUACAA